CGUCUAAAAGAAUCCGAAUCUAGGUCAUUGCAAUUAAAAAAAAAAAAAAGAAAAAAAAAGAAAACCCCCAAAAAUAUCUGAAGAAAAAGCACAAAUUGGAUUGGUUGAUUACGUGUAUAGAUCAAGUGGGGGCAGCCCAAGCUUUAGCCUCCCCCACACUGUAACACUAUAAAACGUGAAACCUUCUUCAGUUUCAGAUAUUUCCACUCUCUCUUCUUUCUCUCUCUGAGAACAAAAACCUUUCGUCUUCUUAUUGUUGCAAAAUUUCUGUACUCAAACAGAUCUCCUCUAUUUUUUUUUUUUCAGAUUUUUUUCCUUCUCUUUUCUCUCCGAUUUUCCCCAAGAUUUCAAUAUUUUUCUUGAAAAUUUUUUUUAUGCAAAAUUCUUCGAGUUUCUGUCGAUGACUCGCUGCGUUUUUGAGAUUUAUCAACGCUUUAAUGUGGUUUCUCUUCAUUUGAAUUAUCCGCUCCUGAUAUUUGGAGGAGCAACGGAGUCAGCUGAUGCCGUUUGGCUUUGAGGUCAGAACUUUUUGAAGUUAUAGAUGCUCUUUUGUGCUCUGUUGGUUUGAAGUUGCCGAAACUAAAUUUUCUACUUGAUGUCUGGCCAUGUGAAGGUCUCUUUGGCAACUUUUCUGAUUGAGUCAUCAAAGGAAAAAAGGGUCUGACAUUAAGAUUAUGGAAAGCAACUGGAAGACGUGAUUAAAAUAAUUGUUCUAUGAGUUCAUACCCCAAUUUCGUAGCUCUUGCUGGUGUCUCAUAGUUCUGUUGCUGUGGCUGGCUUAGCUGAAGAUGGACAGGUGCAUGGGAUUCCUCAGCACUGCCAAGGCCAUUGGAGCUAAGGUAUUUGUUGAAGGUGUUGAAAGACGCUAGACUGAUACAGCAACAAGUCAAUCAUUUACACGUUAGUCCAUUACAACGAAAGAAUUUGGAAAGAAGAUAAUUAUGAAUUGCAUCAUUCUAUAAUUUGCAAGGGUGGCAUAUCACAAUUUGCAGUUUGGGGUGAUGCUUGUAAACUAAAUUACACUUGCAUCAUGAUACAACUGAAAAGUGCCUGAAUACUUCUCUAAGAAAAAUAUUAUUUUAUAAGUAAGUACAUUGUUAUCAGAGGAUGAAAAACUCACUUCUCCCUGGUGAGGGGUGGGAGUUUGAGGAAAUGGGAAUAGGGAGAAGGCCAGUAGCUGCCUGGUCCCAUUUCGCAUGAUGAACAUGCUUGGCAUGCCUCAAGAGACAUGGGAUCACAUGGAGACAAGUGAUGUCUGCAGGUAUUUGACUAUAAAUAAUAACACAACUCACCUAUCAAAAGUUUCCAAUUACUUGUUUUUGCUCAAUUUCACUCUUUUCAGGACCAUGAAAAAUUAAUAUUCAAGGAAAAGAUCAUACCGAUGAUUUUCUUGUAAGUUCUGCAGUUGUUGCCUCAACAUUGCUGCCUCCCUUUGCCAGAACUAGUAAAAAAAAAAAAAUGCAAAGUUUAUCAACAUAUCACCUAUUCUGCAAUUACCAAAAGCUGAAUAUCAUAAACUUUUUCAUUUCAGUUUCUGUUACACUCCUAUUUAUUUGUUAGUGGUUGAUUUUUUGACAUAACUUGCUUCUGAUUUUGCAAUAUCCAGUGACCACAUGAUAGAUAACGUAACAGUUAUGGGAUGUAUGAGAUUUGCAAAAUAAUUUGAUGAAAGUGUCACAAAAGAGCAUUUCUCAAUGGGAAGUAACUGAACUGUUUCUUAGUAGUAAGCCUUAAUUUAUGAUAACUCGGCCCAUCUCAUUGAAAUGACUUUAUCUAUGAAAAAGUGGUCACCAACCCGUUAACAGAGGAGGUUUGUGGUGUUAGAGCGGCAACAUAAAGCAUGUAGGUACAUGUUAUGAAAUUGAACAGUAACAGAAAGGCCUUUUUUUGUUCUAAGUUGACAUUAUAUUUUGAAUACAAAUAAGGUGGUCAUUGUCUAUGCUAUGAUAAUGUUAAAACAGAUAGGACACAGAUGCUGUCUUCUCAACAUGGUGGAAGCUAGGGUAGUUGUGUUUAAUAUUGUUUUGCCAAGGGCUUCUUGAAUUGAAAAUUGUUGUUACUUUGUGUAUGUUGUUUCUAUCAGUAAGCAGUUUGCUUAAGGAAAAUGACAAAGUUCAACUUGUUCUUUGUGUCAUAUAGCUAGGUGCACAAAAGAUUUAGACUCAAGAAGACCAGAAACAUGUAAGUUAUGGUUAUGGAUGAAUACAGUGUAAAAAUGAAGUCUUACCAUGUAUAAGAUUCAAGUAAAUGUAGUAACAAAGAAAUCUGAGGACUGGGUACUGAAAUACCUUCACUUCAGAGAUUGGGUUUCCCAUCUGAUGAUUUUCUUCUUUUGAUUUGUUGUAUCUUUCGAUUACUGAUUUCAUGCUGUAAGAGGAGAUUUGAAUUUUAUCAGAUAGAAUAGUCGUGCUUUUGUUAACACAAUAUAACAUCUAGGAAUAAAAUGUCACUGAUCACCAUAUGCAUAACUGCACAGGAUGGUAACGUACAUGUUCUGUCACAUUAUGUCUAUUGAAGCAGUAACUGGGAGAUCAUUGCCUAGUUCUUAGAUAUUAAAUAAAUGCAAGCUCGAAUAUAUGUUCUGUAUUUAAUCUAGCUGACUCGGAUUUUGAUGUUGGUUGAUAAAGUUGAUUAUUUUCAUACCCCCUGUUUUGUGCUAAUAAUAGGACAUUCACUUAGCAGGAAUUGAAAUAUAGCAUGAGUGCUAAAUUGAUUGCUUUUUCUCUACAUUAUUGCAGUUUUCCUCUUCAUCUUCUUCUA